AUCACAACACCCCGGCUUUAUUCUAACUUUGAUUCUGGAAUGUGGACAUUUUACGCACGGUGGCGGUUUUUGAACAUGUGGGCUGCUUUUUGAUUUAUGUACCGACACUAAUAUUGGGGAAUUAUUGCAAAACAACACAAUAAUAAUAAUAAUAAUAUGAAUAAGUAAAGUGUGUCAGAGUACACAUCAUACAGCAUAUAAUUAAAACCUCUUUCCCUCAACACACAGUUAAAAUAAAUACAGAAAUUAAUUAUAAUUUUGCACUAAAAUGUACGCAUGCACGGUGGGGAGAAAGGAACCAAAUAAGCUCGUGCUUGAGUGCCAUGCGAACACUGCGUUUUAUUUAUUUAACAGAAGUAACGGUUUCAUGUUUAUUUCCGUAUUGCUAACUUAAGGAAAAUGCAUUUUCAUAUUGCAUCGUUAAAAGUGGAUGUGGAAAAUGGGCACAUCAUAAUCGCGCUUGUUUCCGACUUCAGGCGCACAAAUGCUGCCAAUUCCUGACUAAAUUAGAAACCUUUUUACUGUAAUGAUAGAUCUUCAGCUUUUUUCAGUUCAUGGGUGAGCUCAGUUAGAGCUUCCCCGCUCUCCCCCCUCCCUCGCCCUCCCUCUUGUCUGUUUGACUUGUCUAUUCCCCCGCGUCCACCUCAUAUGAGAGACAAAUCUGUUGACAACAAGGUCGUCCUGUGAGCAAACUUUCGGUGCCCCCCUUUUUCUUCUUCCUCUCCAUCUCUUUCCAUCAUCCCCUUUGAAGUUAUGUCCAAAAGGCUGUUAUUAUCUGGUAUUAAUAGAUGCAGCCCCAGGAAGACAAAAUCAGCUAUUGAUAAUUGCAAGGAGUAUACGGCAGCUACUGUAUCGAUCGGCGUGUCCUCCACUCCCCUGGUACUGAGAGAUAAGGAGACACACUCUUUAGAGCAAUAUAAUUUCUUUUGACCUAUCUGCUUGCUACAGACUUAUGAUGAAUAGCCAGAGUGGUUGAAGUCCUUUAUCACCAAAGUUACCCCCUUGAUAUAAUAUUGAUUCUUUAUAACUAGCUCGCCACACAAAAAUCAAACUGUCCACUUGGCCAUCAUCAUCAUCAUCAAUAUCAUCACAAAGGCGGAGGAAUGAAGAUCCCCCGCGCGUCUAAAGGCGAGCCGUUACAAUCUCCUCUGUAGACCUAAUCUUUAUUUUGCUGAUGAUGAAAGGAGAGGGGAAACGAGGCAAGGUGCCAUUUAAGACGCGGUGCCAUUUAAUCCGGUAUAGACUACACAUACACACACCGCACACACUUAUAGAGAGAGAGGGAAAGAGAGGGGGUGUCCAGACCGGGCUGCCGAACAGCUUUGGAAUUCACGUCGCUUGAAAAGUUUGAUUUCCACUAAGCUUUACGUAACCCUAAGAGCCCCUGUGAUUUUAUAUAGUUUGAUCUGACUUCAAAAAUAAAUAAAUUACCAAGUCAAAUAUUACUGUUCUCCAAUUUACUGCGUUGGACGAGCAAAUAAAUACAUAAAUACGUUUUUUUUUUAAAAAGCACUUUUUUGUUUCAUGGCACUGCGGAUGCCGGAUGCGCCUCAGAGGUAUCCUUUAACCUUAGAGGCUGCUUCGCUGCAGAGCUGGAGCCCCACCGAGGCUAUUACAACGGGGGCCACUCUCUCUAUUCUCCGAGAGAGGAGUGAGAGUGCUGCUGGUGCUGCUGGUGGAAGAGGAGGAGGGGGAGGAGGAGGGGGGCAUGGUGGCGGAGGAGGGUGGGAGAGGAGGGAGAGCAGAAACGUGUAAUCACCCAAACAACCGUUUUUACCCGUUUCACCCCCUCUGGAUCUGUGUCGCAAGUCCGCUGUGAGCCUGUCUGCCUUUCACUGCGGAUAUCGUAGAGGGAGGCCGGAGCGUGAAGAAGACACCAGAGAGGUGUGUGGCAUGUGGAAAAGUGUGCAGACACGAUCAACAUGUGACUUAUCCUAUAAACGCUCUUGAACAAUUGCCUUGCUAAUCACAUUAUGGAUACAGUAAGCUCAACAAAUUGGAGAAGAAAUGUGAUCCCUCGGAAUAGAAGAAAUCAGCUUUAAGUGAGGGACACAGUUUUCCACCCUCAGAUGUCUUGCGAGUACACAUAAGGUCACCACAGAACAAGAGUGGGAAGAAUCUGGGAGCAAAAGGCAAAAUGGUUUGUGUCGAUUUAAGCAAGAGGGUAAUAGGAGGAGUGGGAAAAAAAUCAAUAACAACAUAAAAUUGAUUUAGUGCGUGUCAUAAAACAUAAGUAAGUGCUCUGAGAUGGAGAAAACUGGAGUCUCAAUUUAAUCUGUGCAAAAGCUGCACUGUACAGAUGAAGCGAUGUCAAGAGGGAGAAAGAUAGGAAGCGGCUAAAGGAGAGUGGGUGGGAAGAAAGAAGAAAAGCAGGAGGGAGGACAGAGUAGCUCACAAGAUAGAGAGAGGAAGAUACAAUAAAAUCUAAAAGACAGACACUUAAUUGUCAUAUUAAAGACUCUUUCCAGUGCUCGGCAGAGUGGAAGGUUAGCUCCCAUUCAUCAUCUCGCUAACAGCCGCCUGAAUGAAAUCACAAUUAAAAUCUGCUCAGUAUUGUCCCUGGGACGUUUCGCGAGCAUUAAUUUUUUCCCAUUGAUUCUCUACCCCCCAUAAAUCAGAAAUGUUGCAGCGCAUGCAAUGGUUUAUGGAGAAGGGAUUAUGGUGUUAUGAAGCUAAUGUAGCAGAACCGUCUCAUUUACACACAGCCUCCCUGGCCAGCUUACAGGGGACGGAGUUAUUACACUAUUACACAGCCUAUCACAAACACAACACACUGACACUGUUUAAACGAUACGUUUAAUUGGACAGUACUGCAGAUUUAUGAUCAUAACAGCAUUGUGUUUUGAGGAUUCUGUUCAUUUGCAGCACAAAAGUGCAGUAGGAGAAGAUUACAGCAUUUGUCGCAGAAACCAGUGAUUCUCUAAACAUCUCAGAAGGAUUAUCCAAAGCCCUGAUCAGUUCCUAUAUAUAAUUUUCCAGUAUAUGGUUCUAAGGUGUAGACUUUUACAUCCUUAAAAGACAAAUCCAAGCACUGAAGUUUAGUUUAGUCUGAAAAAGUUUUGCUCUGCCAUUCCUAAGUUGCUAUUAAAAAAAUAAUAAAGUAAAGGAGAAUAUUAAAUGCCGUAAUAUAAAAUAAAAGGUAGAAGAGGACACAAUA